rnacentral:ncRNA from 1 species
GUGCGUACCUCGGGGGGCUUUGAUUGAAGCUGAGAUGCCACAUGGCGGACCCGUUGAACCUGAACCGGUUAAGACCGGCGGAGGGAAGGUAGCGGGUACUGCC